UCCUGGCUGGCUCAGUUGUAGAGUAUGUGACUCUUAAUUUCAGGGUUGUGAGUUCAAAUCCCAUGUUGGGCA
rnacentral:tRNA from 1 species